rnacentral:rRNA from 1 species
UACGGGGGGGGCAAGCGUUGUUCGGAAUUACUGGGCGUAAAGGGCUCGUAGGCGGCCAACUAAGUCAUACGUGAAAUCCCUCGGCUUAACCGGGGAACUGCGUCUGAUACUGGAUGGCUUGAGAUUGGGAGAGGGAUGCGGAAUUCCAGGUGUAGCGGUGAAAUGCGUAGAUAUCAGGAGGAACACCAAUGGCGAAGGCAGCACUCUGGGACGUGACUGACGCUGAGACGCGAAAGCGUGGGGAGCAAACAGG